GUGGGGAAUUUUGGACAAUGGGGGCAACCCUGAUCCAGCAAUGCCGCGUGCAGGAAGAAGGCCUUCGGGUUGUAAACUGCUUUUGUACGGAACGAAAAGGCUCUGGUUAAUACCUGGGGCACAUGACGGUACCGUAAGAAUAAGCACCGGCUAACUACGUGCCAGCAGCCGCGGUAAUACGUAGGGUGCAAGCGUUAAUCGGAAUUACUGGGCGUAAAGCGUGCGCAGGCGGUGCUGUAAGACAGGCGUGAAAUCCCCGGGGUUAACCUGGGAAUGGCGCUUGUGACUGCAGUGCUGGAGUGUGGCAGAGGGGGAUGGAAUUCCGCGUGUAGCAGUGAAAUGCGUAGAUAUGCGGAGGAACACCGAUGGCGAAGGCAAUCCCCUGGGCCUGCACUGACGCUCAUGCACGAAAGCGUGGGGAGCAAACAGGAUUAGAAACCCCGGUAGUCC
rnacentral:rRNA from 1 species